CUAUAUAAGCGCCCCCCCCCCCGGUCUCAACCACCAAGCCAGCGCCUCAAACCCUACCCGCACCUCAAACCUUAGUCACCCGAGCCUCUUCGCCGCCGCAAGCUCGCCGCCGUAAGACGGUCUGCAGUUUGAGGGAUUUGAAGAUCAAGCUUUCGAGGAGUACGAACAGCAAGAGCAAGGCCAAGAAGGCAAGUUGUGUCCUUGAUCACUUCUAUAAGUCCUGUCCACCUUUACUUUCGUGUUCCAUACAACAUUGCUAUGCACAUAAUAGUUGUAAUCUUGAUGGGUCCCAAUUAAGGUUCGCCUAGAUUUAAUUUACCUUCGCCUUGACCAACCGGGUUUACUUUUAUGUUGGGUAGCUCAUGCUUAGUGCUUACCUGGGCCUCACCGGAGAGCCCUGCGACUUUGGAGUGAAACCCUGUUUCAUGUAAUCGCGUGAUUGUAAUAUGGAGUUCUAUUUUAUCCCCUUUUCUCAAAUCCUGUAUGCAUUGAACAAUCCAGCAUUUUGAAUGAAUGUUCAGGUUGGCGCUUUGCCAGCCGUAGGUUCCUCAAAAAAAAAAAAAAGGUGCGGACAGCGCGGGGACGAGCCGAUAGGAAGGCGGAGGAUGAGGGCGGUAGAGGAGAGCACCUUCCCGGAGACCUGCUUGCCUACUCCAGUGCCGAGGGAGGUCAUGAGCAGCAGUGCAGCCGUCUUCACGGGCACUGCGGCGACGGCGAGUGGCCGGAGCACUCCGUUCCUUUGCGGAGGAUGAGGGCGAUGGAGGAGAGAAAUUUCCCAGGGAUCUGCUUGUCUGCUCCAGCACCGGGCCGGCCGCGAGCAGUACGCCGGGGAGGCCGCGAGCAGCAGCAGCUUGCCAGCGGCCAUCUUCACGGGUGCUACGGCGGAGGCGAGUGUGUGGAGGCUGGAGCGUUCCUUCUCCCACUUGUGUUUUGUGCUUCCUGAACGUGGGCCGCAUCGAGUAUAUGCGCUUAUCUGCUGCGUGUGGUCUGAUAGCCGUCGGAUGUUGCAGGAACGGCGCAGCAGGUUUGGACGUCCCUCUUACAUAGAGCGGAAUACAGUAGAGGAUCUGGUUCGAGUGACAACUGCUAACUUUCCAGUCUUUCGAGGAAGCCGUUUUGAAGCACGGAACUCUGGGAGAAGUGGCAUUGGAAUACUGCUAGCAUAUCUACCAAAUGUCUUGGUAUUCUAACAGAUAUCUCUUCCUUGAAUGAUGAUUGUUGCCCUACAUCCUGUGAGAACAAGGAAGAUUACGAGCUUGUUAAAUAAGUGUGUCAAGUUAAUUGUCAACAGCAAACAUCAAUAACCAUUACAUCUGGGCUACCUCAGAAACA